UUUUCCCUCUGACCUCUCUACGCUUCUGCUUGCUCGGUGAACUCUCCAGAGAGAAAGGUUGGGGAGUGGGGUGGAGAGGUGAUUUUGACCUCCUUCGUCGCCGGCAGGGAGAUUCGCGCCGCCUCUUUCUGGUGAGCUCCACCUUCGUCUCCCUCGCUUUUUGAAAUCCGCUCCGUCUCUUCUGCUUGCUCGCAGAACUCUUCUCUCAAGAAAGGUUGGGGAGUACGUGGGGGUGGGGGCGAGAGGCGAUUCUGACCUCCCUCGUCGUCGUCGGAGAUUUUCGCUCGCGCCGCUCCUGUCCGGUGAGCACAACCUUUGUCUCCCUCCCUCUCUAACCGAGCUCACGUUCCUCUUUCGUUCUCCCUCGCCGUGCUGCUUUUUUGCGUGCGAAACAGUGAAAGGAGCGGGCGGUGUGUUGGAUCUGGUCUCGUCGACGGCCAGCGUUGGUCUGCCCGGUCGGUGAGCUUCGCUUGGUCUGUCGUCGGCGUUCGUGUCUGUAGGGAUUUUGGGGCUGAUUUGAUUUUGUUACGAGAAGAGAGGAACGGGAGUCUCCAGCCUUGUUCGUGGAUGUGUUGUGAGCUGUGGUUUGGGCAUCAUGUCUGAUAUUGACGCCGGCUUUGAUGAUGAAGGAUUAAUUUCAUAUUCUAAUUCUGGUCAAUGCUGGUCUGAAGGAAAAGAAUGACACUUCUUUCCUUAUCUUCAAGGAAAUGUCUCCUAGUAGUCUGUGUUAAGAACCUCUGAGCAUCUUGUUAUGCAGCAACCUCACAUGGAUGGAAAUCAUGUGCUAUCUACGUUAUUAUGUAAUGGGUUUGUUUUUGAAACCAAAUACUCUAAUGGUUUGUGUUAGUUCUGUUAGAACACUGUUCUUAGAGAUAUGGCGCUAUGAAAGCACUAGGACUUUAAAGCUUGUGUAACGCUUUAUUUUGUGAUUACCAUCCCUGUUGUGUUUUUUUUUUCAA